GGCUUUCUGUUGUUUCUGCACGGAGAUAGAUUAAGCUGCUAGGUAUCAUUUUCACUCCUAAUGAACAUGUGUCUUGUCAACAAGUUAUUGCAAGUACUUUCCAACUCAGAUAUCUAUUACCAGGUCAAACGGUGAGCUGUUCAGCACAGUGCCUUCCCCUUCAACAUAAAAGACUUAAAGAAGAAAUCGAAGCCACAUUUCCAGUUGUUCUUAUAAAACAGAUCCUACAGAGCAAGGACUCACCAAGCAACCCCGGGAUGUCUCAUGAAUUUUUAUGUAAGUUAUUGGAAAUUCAAGGAUGUCUUAUAAAAUGUAUGACCUGAAGAAAAAUUCUAAAUCCGUGAUAUUUAUCUCAAGCAUUGAAGUUCCCCCGCGCUGUGAGACUUUUAGGGAAAUUAAGGGGGGCUAAUAUGGAUUGGGUAUUGAUUAGUCCUAAUGUUUCUGUGCAUUUAAUAAGAACGGGG
ensembl:lncRNA